AGUUUUUUUUCUCUCUGUUAGGAUGAGGUAGUAAAUCAGUAGUUGCUGGAGGUGAGAACAUUCUGGAUUGUGUUCACCAUCCCCUUUAAACAGAGAGCGCGGUGGACAUCCCCUUUAAGCGACCCAGAGGGAAAGGGAGAGACCGCCCCGAGUUCCUCAACAGCCUGAGACUUGGAUUCUCCAUUAUCUCUGGGGUUUCUUUUGUAUUAUCCACCAUGAAGAUAGACACAAAGGACAGAAUUGUCCCAGCUCUUGAGUGACGUACAAGAAACAGCAAGAAAUUUGGGAAAAUAUGGUGAAAUUGGAAAAAGCUCUGAAUUUCAAUGUUGAGAAGAAAGUUCUGCGGUUCCUGUUAAUGUUUCAAAGGCAAAUUCUGAAUCUUCAGAAUAAAUAACAAACAGGCCACUCAGCUCCUACCACCAUGUCACAAAAAUGAACAAAAGAGUUGGACUCCAUGAGAGAAGUGAGAGAGAUUGCUGUUGACAUCAAGGAAGUAUUUGACUGAAUGUGGCUUCAAGGAGCCCUAACAAACUGGAAUCCAUGGGAAUCAGGGAAAAUUCUGCACUAUUUGUAAUCUACCAGCACAAAGGAGGGUCGUGGCGGUGGUUGGAGAUCAGUCACCUCAGCUGCAGGGCUUCUCUGCAAGAGUUCCUUAUCAAAAAACCUGCAGCCCAACAAAAUUCAGCUGCUUCAUCAUUGAUCUUACAUCUACCAUAAGAUCCAGAGGUAGGGGGGUUCAUUCAAGAUUGGACAACGUUCAAUGUUAUUCACAAUUCCCCACAAGCUGAAGCAAUCCAACAUGAUUUGGAUAACUUUCAAGAUUUGACUGAUAAUUGACAAAUGACAUUAAUUCCACACAAAUGCUUGGCAAUGAUUGCCUUGAAAAAGAGAGAAAAUAACCAUUGCUGCUUGCUGUUCAAUAGCAUUAUGAUUGCUGAUUCUCCCAGAAUAAACAUCCAUGGGAGUCACUAUUAAUCAGAGACUGAAAUGGACCAGCCAUAUAAAUAUGGUGUCCACAAGAACAGGUCACAAACUGGGAAUUCUAUGGCAAGUAACUCAGCCGCUGCCUCCUCAAAGCCUGUCCAUCAUCUACAAGGCACAAGUCAAGAUUGUGUGGAGUACCCAAGAUAAUAAAAUGUGAGACUGGAUGAACACAGCAGGCCAAGUAACAUCUCAGGAGCACAAAAGCUGACGUUUCGGGCCUAGACCCAUUGUGUGGAGUACUGUCCACUUGCUUGGAUGACUACAGCUCAAACAACACUUAAGAUUAUCAAUACCAUCCAUGACAAAACAGCCCCCUUAAUUGACACCACUAUUAUUCCCACCACCAGCAAUGUGUACCAUCUGCAAGAUACAACUCAACAGGCUUCCUCUGACAGCACUUUCAAAUUCUCAACCUUAACCACCCACAAAGAUAAGGGCAACUGGUACACGUGAACAACAUCACCUGCAAGAUCCCCUCAUAGUCACCAUCCUACCUUGGAACUAUAUUGCUGUUCCUUCACUACAACUCGGUCAAAAUCCUGGAACUCUCUUCCUAACAGCACUCUGUGUCUACACCCCCAGUGUUUGAAGAAAGCACCUUGCCAUCACUUUCUCCAGGACAAUUAGAUUUGGUAUUAAAUGCUGGUCUGGCCAGUGGUACCCAGAUCUUUGUUUAGGAAGAAAUAACGCUAACAGUUACCAGAUAAACUGUUCUAAUAGUGUUGACUGAGAGAUAAUAAAACUCUCCAACUCCUUCAUAUAAUUCCACAUGAUUUUUGACUCCUAGCUGAAAGGACUGAUGGACCUCAGGUUAACAUGAUUAUUGAACUCUCCACGUACCACCCUGGCUGUCAGUUUCUCUGCUAAGGUUGUUGGAGUGGAACUUGUAACCACAAUUUUCUAAAAAAGAAACAACUAACAAGCCAACAUUUAUUGUUGCUCGUGAGCUUUGUGCAAAGGAAGAAGAAUUUGGCCACAUAAUUCACUACAAUCUGCACAAUGUCCCAUCCUUUAUGAAGUGCUGUCUUUCCUGCAUAAUCUUCUCUCUAUAAAUGUGAACAUGUACUUUCUCUGGCCUGAUGUAUUCUGCAGGAAGCUGUAGUUAGGAGGGUCUAUCAACCCAUCAAAGCCUUCCCUGUUCAUUGUAUAUCCAAGUUGAAAAUAGGACCAACUCCAUUUAUUGAAUAAAUUUUGC